CUCCAGGAAGGGGUGGGACUUCCAGGGCUCCUCAGCCAAUCAGAAGUAUUGGCGGGCACAUUGCAAAAAUCUUCCCCCCAGUGCUUCAAGACUCCAGGGCUUUCUGCCCUUUUGUUUUUGCGGCUCUCUUUUUUUUUUUCUCUCUCUCUCAGUUGCUGCUGAUUUUGUGCUUUUUUAUGGUCCCUGCACUGUUUUGCAGGGACUGGGAUUGUUUAUGGGAAAACUACUAAAUUUGCAGUUUUUGCAGAAACUGAAAAAUCUUGAAUUUGGUAGGUCCCUACCAAUAAGCCAUUUUCAGACACCGGUGUGCAUGGGAGUUGGAGAAAGGAUGAGCCCCAUAGCAAUACUUCUAUGCACAGAUCAACUACUAUGUACUUCAAGAGAAACAAAAUAGUUUUUCAGAAUUUGAUGGCAUUAUCUCAUGAAAAGUAUAAAGAAAAGAAUGAUUACAGCAAGAUCAGCUAUAGAGAGCCUGUAUUAUGUUGAUCAUUUCCAUUUCACGGACAACAGGCAAGUUUUGGUCACAUGUAGCUGCAGCAAGCCAAGAAGAGCCAGACCAUAAGGAAAAAAUGCCAGAAGCAGUUUGCUGUCUCAAGUCAACAACACUCUGAGGACAGAUCCCAGAGUGCUGAGUCUUCUGGGUUGAUGUUUCAUCAUACUUUUGCCAAAUCUAAAACUGUACCAAGUUCAAGUUGGUUCAGACUUGAAUGUUUACUGAGCAGCUCACCCAGGCCUAUUCAUUAGAGUUGUACAGCGUAUACUCUGCCCCAAUAAGCAGUUAAAAUUAGCUUCUUUAUUAAAUGCUAAAGGAGAUUUAAGAAAAUAUUGUGACAUACACAAAGAAGUAUGUUAAUGUCAAAUGUUUCAACAUCAAUAGAAGCCUGUGGGAAUUGGAUCAAAGAUUAUUUUUGACAUAAUGAGGGUAGCAGUUAGAUUUUUACCAUUUGAAUAGAGCACAAGUAUGAAAAGCUAGUUUCUGUAGACUUAAUACUACUGUACAUAAAAAAAUCAUUGAGCUACAGUUCAUAUAGGAUCUAGGCAGCAGGUUGAUAAAAUCAUAAUCCUGCAUUAAGUUGAAAUAAUAUUGUUUCUUCUUUUUUUUAAGACGUUAACCCUGGAAAGUACUUUCCAGAUAUGACUUCUAAAAAAUUGCACAAAAUCAGUACAUUCACAAUAACACAAUAAUGUAAUUCUACACACUGCAGCUUCUUGGGAUGGUAUAUCCAAGAGUGACAUGAAAAAUGGUAUGUCCCCCAAUUAGUCACUACUUAAAACUUAAUUUUGGACCUAGUUUCCUCACUUUUAUUAUUUCUUCUUAUGUAAUUGGAGCUGAUGUUUAACUUGUCUCUUUUUAUGCAUUUUUCCACAUUUAUUUUUCAUUCUUUCCUCGCAUUGUUUUUUCUUAAAUAUAGAUGCCCACAGUCUGAAUAGAUUGUUUCUUGUGUGUCUACGAUAUAGUUUGACUGUCAUUUAAGUGUUUUCGCCCUGAAGUACAGGCACCUAGAAGCUGAAUAGAAUGCAGUGAUUCAAUAGACAUAUUUUGGUGAACCUCCACAUUUUGUCUCCGAAGCCUAUGCCAUAUUAAAGACCACUCUUACAGCAUUCAGAGGCCCAGAUGCACCCACAAAUCAAAAUCACAAUGUUUUCACAUUAAACAAGUAUUUCUACUUCUUGAUACCAAUUUCAUGUCUCUAAUCAUGGAGGAUUCUGCAUAUUAACAUAGGCAUACAGGGCAUGGGUUUUUGUGGUUUUUGUUUUUAACUAAAUUUGACUUAGAGUCCUUAUUCUGAUCACAUUUACACUUAUAUAACUCUGUAAAUUACUAGAGAUAGCAACUGUAUAAAGUAAGUGUAAAUGAGCUCAUAUCAGGCUUUAAAGUCUCUAAUGAAAGUGGAGGCCAUUGUCAUUAGUCUUAUUCAUAGCUACUCUGCCUUCUGGUAUGCUUAAGGAAAUGGGUAAAAGAAAAAGUGUGCCAACUAAUAAGUGAAUUCCUUCCUAUCAAGAUACGUCUUUAAGACUCUUGAUGUUCUAGCAUUAGAAUGACUAUUUUCAUAGCUAAGGUAUCAAUAAAGUAUUUAUAUACACACCCCUUUUCUUUGUAUUACAAAGCAGUCUCUUCUUCCCUCCCAAAGUAAUGUUUUAUGCAGCUGCAGUUUUGAGAGAACUGGUCUUUCUGAUUUCACAGUUGACAGGUUAGGUUCUGUCAUCUCAUGUUGGAUCGAGUCAGUCCCAUUAUGUUAUGUAACAGGACAUCACUUAUGCAACUUGACAUGAUGAGUCAUCUGGGAUUUUUUUCCCCCCCUAAGUCUGACAUUUCUUCAAACCCAGAAAAGAAUAAAGAGAUUUUUUUUUACUGGGUGUUGAUAUCAGAGCACUAUCUUGGUACAGAAAUAACUCUGUUGACUUAAUUUGGACUAGUUGUCUAUUUGUGACACGAGUAAAGAAAUUGCAGUGGCCCAAAGCUGUCAAUAAAAAAAAGUUUCUCCUCACUUCUAGUGUGGCCUGUACUUGCCAGUUUUAGCAGUUUAGCUCUUUUGGUGAAUGUAGUUGUACUGGUAUAAAAGUGCCUUAUAUAUCUGUAGCUUAUUCUGCUUCCCAAAUUAGGCUGUGGUAAUAUAAGGACUCAUAUCAAUUAAACUAUAGCUACACUUGGGGAAGAUUUGCUGCUUUAACUCUUCACAGGAUAGUUGAAACAAAUAAAUGUUCUAUUGUAGACAGCCUGAACUCCACCUAUGACUUCUCUAUCCAAACUCUUGCUGCUACACGAGCCAUUCUUAUAUUGCACUUGUGGAAGCAUAAUGAAUUUUUGGUCAGGAAGAAGUAAAAUCUAGCCCAUUUUUAAUACACCUGGCUUAAUCCUGUUUUCUCUUUCCCUAGAAGGAAACCUAAUUAUCAUUUUUAUACCAAUUUGCCAAUUUGGGGAGGGGUUAAAGAAUAUUUAUUUUAACUUGAUCCCAUGCUUAAAUUUUGCCUUUUUAUCAUUGUUUGGCAUGAAGUCUUCUUUUUUAGAGUUAAAGGAGGAUCAAAAAUAUUUUUUGGCGUUUACCCUGACCUGAUACUGCCUUUGUUUCCUUACAUUGCACCUUUGUCAAAUUAAUAGCAUCCAUUUUGUGUGACAGUAUCCAGUAAAGGACAUAGACCCAGUCUAGAAUUGUAACAAAUGCAGCCACAGUAACAGCCUUUUAUCAUGAUUUGUAGGCUAUUGUUAGCAACCCUUAAGAUCUCAUGUUCAUCUAUCAUGAGGGAACGCUAGACUGAUAAAAGUAAUUAAAAAUCUUCUGAUCGGUAUGCUGAUUAUGAGUCUCAAAUAGCCCAUAUUCUUAGUUUUGUUUGCUACUUCCUUGUUUAUUUUCUCCCCUAAGUUGGAUUUGUAACCUGUUGGCCACUAACUAGAUCAAAUUAUUUCUGAUUCUUG